rnacentral:rRNA from 1 species
UACGGGGGGGGCAAGCGUUGUUCGGAAUUACUGGGCGUAAAGGGCUCGUAGGUGGCCAACUAAGUCGGACGUGAAAUCCCCAGGCUCAACUUGGGAACUGCGUCCGAUACUGGAUGGCUUGAAUUCGGGAGAGGGAUGCAGAAUUCCAGGUGUAGCGGUGAAAUGCGUAGAUAUCUGGAGGAAUACCGGUGGCGAAGGCGGCAUCCUGGACCGAGAUUGACACUGAUGAGCGAAAGCCAGGGGAGCAAACGGG